UUAUACCCACAGAUGUUUUUCUCCAUAAGAAAAUAUUACUAUAUGUUGAUUGAGAUAUUACUACAGUUGAUCAAUUCCCCCAAAAGCUGAAAUCUUAAAGAUAGGUUUCCCCAUGACCUAGAAUAUGUAUUUAAUUUUGGUUUCUACUUGGCCAUGCAGGAAGAGCAGGAGGAGUGUGGAGAGAAGCCAUUGGCACGCCCGGUGACUUUGUUUCUCUGCUGAUGUGUAAGGAUCUGGAAAAGCUAGCCACCAGACCUCAGGCCACACUGGAGCAGAUGGCUCAGCACUGCUUGGCAUUGAUGUCACCCUCUGCAAGGCUUGCUUCAUACACUUUCUGCUGGGAAUAAAAUGAAACCUAGAUACACUUCAGUUCACAUUUGGAACGUGACUGCGGACAAUCACUUGUAAUGCAAAACACCCCAAAGCCUUUUCCCCAAUUUUAUCAACUCUGCCUCCUACACACAUAUUUUAUUUGUUCUGAAAGACUUAAUCCACUCUGAAGGAAGCAUGACACUCCCUUGGGCUAGGCUGAUGAAGCACCACACGGCUUGGCUGGCUCAGAGUCAAGGAACGAGUCAUCCCCCGCCACCUCCACACACGCCUUA
rnacentral:lncRNA from 1 species